AUAAUCGCGCCGUGUACGUCUACA
rnacentral:siRNA from 1 species